CUUGGUCAUUUAGAGGAAGUAAAAGUCGUAACAAGGUUUCCGUAGGUGAACCUGCGGAAGGAUCAUUAUUGAAAUAAACCUGAUGGGUUGUUGCUGGCUCUCUAGGGGGCAUGUGCACACCUUGUCAUCUUUAUAUCUCCACCUGUGCACUUUUUGUAGACCUUUCAGGUCUAUGUUGCUUCAUUUACCCCAAUGUAUGUUAAUAGAAUGUUGUGACUAUAUAAUAUAUACAACUUUCAGCAACGGAUCUCUUGGCUCUCGCAUCGAUGAAGAACGCAGCGAAAUGCGAUAAGUAAUGUGAAUUGCAGAAUUCAGUGAAUCAUCGAAUCUUUGAACGCACCUUGCGCUCCUUGAUAUUCCGAGGAGCAUGCCUGUUUGAGUGUCAUUAAUGUAUAUAUCAACCCCCUCUUUGUUGAGUGGUUUGGAUGUGGGGGUUUGCUGGCCUCUUAAAUGGUUCAGCUCCCCUGAAAUGCAUUAGCAGAACAACCCUGUUCAUUGGUGUGAUAACUAUCUACGCUAUUGAAUGUGAAGGGAAUUUCAGCUUUCUAACUGUCUUUGGACAAUUCAUCAUUAAUGUGACCUCAAAUCAGGUAGGACUACCCGCUGAACUUAAGCAUAUCAAUAAGCGGAGGA
rnacentral:rRNA from 1 species